rnacentral:lncRNA from 1 species
UGUCAGGCCCUGCAAAUACAGGGAGAGGAGCAAGGGAAGAACAAAUGGAUUCUUUCACUUCUGCAGAAGCCUUCAGCUUGGAUUCAGUUGAGAGGUACAUGGUGGCUGAUUUUUGCAAUCAAGCUGAGGAGUUUUCAUCUUAAGCUUGGACCUUCAUAGCUGAUCAUGGCAGCUGACUUCUGUUUCCAAAUCAACUAUCCUCGCUCUGGGGACAGAAAGAAAUGAACCUGAAGCACCCCUCAUGAUGAUGUGAGCAUGCUGGAUUGCUGCAAGGGCCUUAAUCCCUGGGAGAUUUAUAUCUGUGACUUCACUAUGAAAACAAAACUAUCUUCCCCGCCCUGUCAGGGUGCAACAAUUAGAAAAGAAUGUGAGGUUUACUUUUGACGAAGCAUGUGGUUCAUAAUAGAGCCUCUUUUACCAAUGGGAUGAUUUGUAGCUAAAAUAUAAAAACCAUGGGC